rnacentral:sRNA from 1 species
AAGGGAUAGUAGUGAAAAGCCCACAGCAUCGCAUUUUUAUGCGUUGCGAGGACUUGUAGUGGAUAGCCCGACCCAAC